rnacentral:rRNA from 1 species
GACGAACGCUGGCGGCGUGCUUAACACAUGCAAGUCGAACGGUGACGGAGAGCUUGCUCUCCUGAUCAGUGGCGAACGGGUGAGUAACACGUGGGCAGCCUGCCCCAGACUUCGGGAUAACGCUUCGAAAGAGGUGCUAAUACCGGAUACGAACUCCUUGGGCAUCCUUGGAGUUGGAAAGUUUUUCGGUCUGGGAUGGGCCCGCGGCCUAUCAGCUUGUUGGUGAGGUAACGGCUCACCGAGGCGACGACGGGUAGCCGGCCUGAGAGGGCGACCGGCCACACUGGGACUGAGACACGGCCCAGACUCCUACGGGAGGCAGCAGUGGGGAAUAUUGCGCAAUGGGCGAAAGCCUGACGCAGCAACGCCGCGUGAGGGAUGACGGCCUUCGGGUUGUAAACCUCUUUCAGCAGGGAAGAAGCGAAAGUGACGGUACCUGCAGAAGAAGCACCGGCUAACUACGUGCCAGCAGCCGCGGUAAAAC